rnacentral:rRNA from 1 species
CAGCCGCCACGGUAAAACGGAGGGUGCAAGCGUUAAUCGGAAUUACUGGGCGUAAAGCGUGCGUAGGCGGUUCGUUAAGUCUGUUGUGAAAGCCCCGGGCUCAACCUGGGAAUGGCAAUGGAUACUGGCGAGCUAGAGUGUGUCAGAGGAUGGUGGAAUUCCCGGUGUAGCGGUGAAAUGCGUAGAGAUCGGGAGGAACAUCAGUGGCGAAGGCGGCCAUCUGGGACAACACUGACGCUGAGGCACGAAAGCGUGGGGAGCAAACAGGAUUAGAUACCCGGGUAGUCCCUGUCUCUUAUAC